GUGCUUAGCAUUAGCAGCACGUAUACUAAAAUUGGAAUUAUACAGUAGAUUAUCAUGGCCCCUGCACAAGGAUGACACGCAAAUUUGUGAAGCGUUCCAUAUUUAA
rnacentral:snRNA from 1 species